GAUGAACGCUGGCGGCGUGCCUAAUACAUGCAAGUCGAGCGAACAGACGAGGAGCUUGCUCCUCUGACGUUAGCGGCGGACGGGUGAGUAACACGUGGAUAACCUACCUAUAAGACUGGGAUAACUUCGGGAAACCGGAGCUAAUACCGGAUAAUAUAUUGAACCGCAUGGUUCAAUAGUGAAAGACGGUUUUGCUGUCACUUAUAGAUGGAUCCGCGCCGCAUUAGCUAGUUGGUAAGGUAACGGCUUACCAAGGCAACGAUGCGUAGCCGACCUGAGAGGGUGAUCGCCCACACUAGAACUGGAACGCGGUCCAGACUCCUACGGGAGGCAGCAGUAGGGAAUCUUCCGCAAUGGGCGAAAGCUUGGCGGAGCAACGCCGCGUGAGUGAUGAAGGUCUUCGGAUCGUAAAACUCUGUUAUUAGGGAAGAACAAAUGUGUAAGUAACUAUGCACGUCUUGACGGUACCUAAUCAGAAAGCCACGGCUAACUACGUG
rnacentral:rRNA from 1 species